rnacentral:rRNA from 1 species
UACGUAGGGGGCUAGCGUUGUCCGGAAUCAUUGGGCGUAAAGCGCGCGUAGGCGGCCCGGUAAGUCCGCUGUGAAAGUCAAAGGCUCAACCUUUGAAUGUCAGCGGAUACUGCCGGGCUAGAGUCCGGAAGAGGCGAGUGGAACUCCUGGUGUAGCGGUGAAAUGCGCAGAUAUCAGGAGGAACACCAAUUGCGAAGGCAGCUCGCUGGGACGUGACUGACGCUGAGACGCGAAAGCGUGGGGAGCAAACAGG